rnacentral:tRNA from 1 species
UGGGGUGUAGCUUAGUGGUAGAGUGCUUGCCUAGCAUGUACAAGGUCCUGGGUUCAAUUCCCAGCAACACAC